GACGAACGCUGGCGGCGUGCCUAAUACAUGCAAGUCGAGCGCAGGAAAUCGACGGAACCCUUCGGGGGGAAGUCGACGGAAUGAGCGGCGGACGGGUGAGUAACACGUAAAGAACCUGCCCUCAGGUCUGGGAUAACCACGAGAAAUCGGGGCUAAUACCGGAUGGGUCAUCGGACCGCAUGGUCCGAGGAUGAAAGGCGCUUCGGCGUCGCCUGGGGAUGGCUUUGCGGGGCAUUAGCUAGUCGGUGGGGUAAUGGCCCACCACGGCGACGAUGCAUAGCCGACCUGAGAGGGUGAUCGGCCACACUGGGACUGAGACACGGCCCAGACGCCUACGGGAGGCAGCAGUAGGAAAUCUUCCACAAUGGACGAAAGUCUGAUGGAGCAACGCCGCGUGAACGAUGAAGGCCUUCGGGUCGUAAAGUUCUGUUGUAAGGGAAGAACAAGUGCCGCAGGCAAUGGCGGCACCUUGACGGUACCUUGCGAGAAAGCCACGGCUAACUACGUGCCAGCAGCCGCCGUAA
rnacentral:rRNA from 1 species